CAGAUCAAGUCUGGCAGAGGCCAUUUCUGGUGAGAGCUCUCUUCCCAGCUUGCAAACAGCUGCCUUCUCACCAUGCCUCUCAUGAACU